rnacentral:rRNA from 1 species
CCUACGGGCGGCAGCAGUGAGGAAUAUUGGUCAAUGGGCGCAAGCCUGAACCAGCCAAGUAGCGUGAAGGAUGACUGCCCUAGGGUUUGUAAACUUCUUUUAUGCGGGCAUAAAAUGUGACACGUGUGCCUUUUUGUAUGUACUGUAUGAAUAAGGAUCGGCUAACUCCGUGCCAGCAGCCGCGGUAAUACGGAGGGUCCGGGCGUUAUCCGGAUUUAUUGGGUUUAAGGGGAGCGUAGGUGGGAUGUUAAGUGAGACGUGAAAUUUAGUGGCUCAACCGUGAAAGUGCUAUGGAAACUGGAAUUCUUGAGUGAUGGUGAGGUAGGCGGAAUUCGUGGUGUAGCGGUGAAAUGCUUAGAUAUCACGAAGAACUCCGAUUGCGAAGGCAGCCUACUGAACAGCAACUGACGCUGAUGCUCGAAAGUGUGGGUAUCAAACAGGAUUAGAUACCCGGGUAGUC